CUAUUCUUAUGCUUUUUUCCUUUUAUUGGUUUAACUGUUUAAACAAACUUAUUUUUAUUGUUUAUUUAUUUCUGAGACAGGUCUCGCUCUGUCACCCAGGUUGGAGGGCAGUGCUACAAUAAUGGCUCCCUACGGCCUCAAACUCCUGAGUUCAAGCGAUCCUCCCUCCUCAGCCUCCUGAGUAGCUGAGACCACUGGUACGCGCCACUGCAUCAAGCUGACUUUUUGAUUUUUUUUAAGAGAUGGGGCCUCACCAUGUUGCCCAGGCUGGUCUCAAACUCCUGGACUCAAGUGAUCCUCCCUCCUCUGCCUCCCAAAGUGCUGGGAUCACAGGUCUGAGCCACUGCACCAGGCAAGCUUACUUUUUAUACUUGGUGAGACCCUUCUUGUGUCUAAAGCUCCUAGGAUUCACUCUUGCUCCUGCUGGAUGGCUUUUCACCGUGUCUUUUAGUUUUGGACUGGACUGUGGAAUCAGAUCCAGCAGUGCUGUCUCUGGGGACUCCUAUUAGGCCUUGGCUGAGAAUGGGUCCCUUCAGAAUGGUUUUCAUUUUCUUCCAUAAGACAUUCAUAGGUAUCACUGGCCGGGGACUAAUUUUUACGGAAUUUCUCAGCUUAGAGGAUCCUGGGUCAUAUGGGUGGUAUACAUUUAAAUCUCAAACAUUGUGAGAGCAGGGUUGUAGUUACUAACUCUCAAGAAUCUUUCUUUUUCUACUUGGAGUUAGGCCAAGGUGGCUAAGUUUCCUUGGCUUUUCCCUAGGUUGGCGGGCUGAUUAUUUUCUAGUCUACCCUUUAUGUGAGUCAUAACCUUCUGAGGAUUCUAGCUCUGCAGAGGACCAUGGUUCCACUCUGUUUCUUGUGCAGGCCCAAUUGCAGGUCCUUCCUAUCCAAGCACUAAAUCCCAAGCACCUAAGUCACCAGGAAUUACUGCCUUUCUCAGCAUGGCACUUCUUUCUCUCCUUAUAUCCAGUCAGUUUUAAUCUUUUACUUCCCUGAGAUCACAGGUAUCAUGCAAAAUGAUACUUUCUUUAUCAAACAUUUCUUUUUUUUUUUUGAGACAGAGUUUUGCUCGUUACCCAGGGUGGAGUGCAAUGGCGCGAUCUAGGCUCACCGCAACCUCCGCCUCCUGGGUUCAGGCAAUUCUCCUGCCUCAGCCUCCUGAGUAGCUGGGAUUACAGGCACGUGCCACCAUGCCCGGCUAAUUUUUUGUAUUUUUAGUAGAGACGGGGUUUCACCAUGUUGACCAGGAUGGUCUUGAUCUCUUGACCUCGUGAUCCACCCGCCUCGGCCUCCCAAAGUGCUGGGAUCUUUAUCAAAUAUUUCUAACUGGUAAGAGUCAAGACUUUUUAGGGUUUGCCUCAGCAAUGUUGCCAGCAAUCUAUGGGUUUUCUCUACCUUUCCUAGCCCCAGACAACCAGCCAGCAUGAUCUCUUAGACUCUUUGCUCUUACGGACGCCAUCAUUUCUCAAAUGUGCUCACCCUUGAGGGAUUAGAAUCUCAGAGCAAAUGGCUAAGGUACAGGCUGGACAUUCGCAGAUUAGAGUUCCCACUCUGGACAUGCCAUCACUGCCAGGUUCUAGAGGAAAGAACAUGUUGCUUGGAGCUUCUUUGCCAGCAAAGGGCAGUGCCCAGAUGGCCUGAGGAGCUCCAUGGUAUAAGCAGUUAAAUGUGAUAGAGCAUGGACAUGAGGACUAAAGAGACCUGGGUUCACAUCCCAGCCUUUCCUCACACUAUCUGUGUGCCUUGUAAGCUGAUAUUAAGUCUGCUUUGGCAUUUAUGGAAUAGCAAUAAUAACGUUACUUUGUUGUUGUUUUUGUUUGUUUUGAGAUGGAGUCUUGCUCUGUCUCCCAGGCUGGAGUGCAGUGGCAUGAUCUCGGCUCACUGCAACCUCUGCCUCCUGGGUUCAAGCAAUUCUCCUGCCUCAGACUCCCAAGUUGCUGGGAUUACAGGCUUGCUCUGGUGCCUGGCAGACGAACUAGCUCAGCCUUGCCGCACUUUCCACCAGUUAUGCACAAGGGUCUCCGGAGGAAAAAGCCUGAGAGAGCUGGAGGUGGAGACUGUUGUGCACUGUGCUAGGGGCUGGCUGGCACCAACCAACAGUUCCAGAUGGUGACCAGGAGAGGGCGCCAGGGAAAGGCGUGUAAUAAACGGGGAAUAAAGGAAUUUCAGAA